UACGUAGGGUGCGAGCGUUGUCCGGAAUUACUGGGCGUAAAGAGCUCGUAGGUGGUUUGUCGCGUUGUCCGUGAAAACUCACAACUCAAUUGUGGGCGUGCGGGCGAUACGGGCGAACUGGAGGCCAGUAGGGGGAUGCGGAAUUCCGGGUGUAGUGGUGGAAUGCGUAGAGAUCCGGAGGAACACCAGCGGCGAAGGCGGCAUCCUGGACUGGUCCUGACACUCAGGAGCGAAAGCGUGGGGAGCGAUCCGG
rnacentral:rRNA from 1 species